AGAGUUUGAUCCUGGCUCAGGAUAAACGCUGGCGGCAUGCCUAAUACAUGCAAGUCGAACGGUAUCUUCGGAUACAGUGGCGAACGGGUGAGUAACACGUAGGUAACCUGCCCCUGUAACAAGAAUACUUUCUGGAAACGGAAAACAAAACCUGAUAACAGAGGACAAGGCAUCUUGACCUUUUGAAACAGACAAAAGUCUGGAACAGGGAGGGACCUGCGGCGCAUUAGCCAGUUGGCGGGGUAGCAGCCCACCAAAGCGAUGAUGCGUAGCCGGCCUGAGAGGGCGAACGGCCACACUGGGACUGAGAUACGGCCCAGACUCCUACGGGAGGCAGCAGUAGGGAAUUUUCGUCAAUGGGCGCAAGCCUGAACGAGCAAUGCCGCGUGGGUGAAGGAGGUCUUCGGACUGUAAAGCCCUGUUGCAGGGGGAAAAGGGAAUUAAGAGUGGAAAGCUUAAUUUUUGAUGGUACCCUGCCAGAAAGCCACGGCUAACUACGUGCCAGCAGCCGCGGUAAUACGUAGGUGGCAAGCGUUAUCCGGAAUGAUUGGGCGUAAAGGGUGAGCAGGCGGUUAUACAAGUCUGAAGUAAAAGCGGGGUGCUUAACACUUCGAGGCUUUGGAAACUGUAUGACUUGAGGACAGGAGAGGGCGGUGGAACUCCAUGUGUAGCGGUAAAAUGCGUAGAGAUGUGGAAGAACACCAGCGGCGAAGGCGACCGCCUGGACUGGACCUGACGCUGAGUCACGAAAGCGUGGGGAGCAAAUAGGAUUAGAUACCCUAGUAGUCCACGCUGUAAACUAUGAAGAGCAGGUGUUGGGAG
rnacentral:rRNA from 1 species